AGAUCUCCCAGCUGGACACUGGAAAUAGCUUUUGAUGGUUUAGGGCCUCUUUCACUUGACCUCAGUUGCUGCUGGUAUGGAAUCCACAGAGGUGAACAGAUUUCCCCUUCCUAGUAAUACAACCACAGCAACAAAAGCAGUGAGUGAGGAGAAAGCAGAACUAACAUCUCUUCAAGAGGGCACCCCCUGGUUCAACAGACAUUAUUCAUUAUCUGAUGCUGUGAAGGGUAUUUAUAGACUAAGAAGGAUAUUGGCUCAUACUCUGGGGAAUUACAAACUGAAAGACACUGAAUGAUAAUUGUUGUUGUUAAUCUUGAGAUAGAAAAAGACACUUUGAGCCUGCCAGUGGUCUUCUGAACAAAACAUCACAGACUAUAUUCUUUUUCAUCCUGGCUUUUUGUAUGUAUUUCCUAGGUCCCUAAGAGGGAGAAUGGUGAAUUAGGAAUUGUGUUUGGAUUAGCUGCACAAAUAGAAAAGCA
rnacentral:lncRNA from 1 species